UUUCGGAUCAUCCCUCGGUGCUCAUUUUCGAUGCCAUCUCCAUCGACACUCUAUCGACCAAAACUUCUUUUAGAGAAUCCUGCGUUAUGACUUCCAAUGGCAGAGCUGUGGGCUUAACGAUAGGAGUGGCAUAUUCUUCUUCCUUGACUGCAGAUUUCGUUUCAGUAAUCGAAAUCAUGACCUGCCUCCUACGAGCCAAAAUUUGCUCAAGUC
rnacentral:lncRNA from 1 species